UUGAACAAGCAGAAGCCCCCGCUUCUCACCUAUGCCCUUGGCCUCUAGGUUGAUAAUUGAUCGACUAGAUAUAUGAUGCGGGUGCUUUAGUGCCUGCAUUUUUUGUGAGUU
rfam:Lactobacillus mellifer strain Bin4 genomic scaffold Bin4_scaffold1, whole genome shotgun sequence.